GUAGAUAUAGUUUAACAAAAAUAUUAGAUUGUGAUUCUAAAGACAGGAGUUAAAAUCCCCUUAUCCACC
rnacentral:tRNA from 1 species